UACGUAGGGUGCAAGCGUUAUCCGGAAUUACUGGGCGUAAAGGGCUCGUAGGCGGCCAACUAAGUCCGACGUGAAAUCCCAAAGCUUAACUUUGGAACUGCGUCGGAUACUGGAUGGCUUGAAUUCGGGAGAGGGAUGCAGAAUUCCAGGUGUAGCGGUGAAAUGCGUAGAUAUCUGGAGGAAUACCGGUGGCGAAGGCGGCAUCCUGGACCGACAUUGACGCUGAGGAGCGAAAGCGUGGGGAGCGAACAGG
rnacentral:rRNA from 1 species